rnacentral:lncRNA from 1 species
UGUGUUGCGCCAACGGGUGGGAUUAACUGUUUUAAAAACUGCCCUCAUUCAAAAGGGCAAACGUAGGCUUUGGAGAAGGGAAACGCAGACAGAGUAGGCCUGCGAACUCCCGCCUACACUCCCACCCACUGUGUAGAGAUGGCAGGCCUACCGGCCUCAAGCCCUUCUCCUACUCCAUCUCUCUCACUCUACCGAUGCAUCCAAUCCCUCUCUCUCUAAACAACACGAUUUCAAAAAACCAUUUCCUUUCUCUCUCCAAAACCAGAGGACCCCUAUCUCUCACUCGCGCCCAGUUUCUACCUGCCUCAAGCCCAUCUCCAACUCCAUCUCUCUCCCUCUACCGAUGCAUCCACUCCUCUCUCUCUAAACCACACACAAACAAAACCCAUUCCCUUUCUCUCUCUAAAACCAGAGGACCACACGAAAACAAAAACCUAUUUCCUCUCUAUCUUUCACAAACUACAGGAGCCCUAAUGCACCUUCUGCGCCUCUCAUUGUUCUUUUUUUUAUUUGAAAACCCUUUGAUGGGUUUAUAGACAUGGGUUAUUGGUUUGAAAACCAAUGAGAUGGGUUUGCAUUUGGGGUAUUCAUGACUAAUAUGCGUUUUUUGCUAUGAAAAAUAGGAUGUUCGUUCUAAUGCUGUAAAUUUGGUUUUUUUUGCUUUGAAAAAUUGUAGUUCUAAUGCUGUAAAUCUGGUUUUUUUUUCUAUGAUGCAUUUGGGGUAUUCAUUACUUAUCUACGUUUUUUGCUAUGGAAAAUAGGAUGUUCGAUCUAAUGCUGUAAAUCUGGUUUUUUUGCUUUGAAAAAUUGGAGUUCUAAUGUUGUAAAUCUGGUUUUUUUUCUAUGAUGCAUUUGAGGUAUUCAUUACUGAUCUGCGUUUUUGCUAUGAAAAAUAGGAUGUUUGUUCUAAUACUGUAAAUCUCGUUUUUUUGCUUUGAAAAUUUGGAGUUCUAAUGCUGUAAAUCUGCGAUAUUGGAUGCAAUAUGAUGCAUUUGAGGUAUACAUUUGCAAUAACUAACACAAAAUGCCCUCUCAAAUUACAUUACCUCCACAUUGGACAAGCCCUUUAGACCAUCCCAUGUAUCAAACAAGUUGCAAAGAAAUAAAUGAUCAAAUACGAAAUCACGAUUGAAUAAAAUAUCUCACAAUCAAAUAAAGCACGACUCAUUAUUGAUAGAAAAUUUUAGAAGGAUUAUAUUAAGGAAAUUUUCUGCAGAUAUCUCCAUCACAAUUCCAAAUCCAAUAACCAGAAAUUUCACUUAAAUGUCUGACUAUCCCAAACUAAGCCUUUUUACUUUCUGAUUUUUCGCAUAUGAAACUCAAAAGAAGACUAGACAUAAGGGACCAACAUAUGGCCACAAACCAACCUUAGCACAAUACUAUUAACAUAAAAUCAAAAGUAUGCACCAAUGCACAGUCCAAAUUUCCCUAAUAAUUCAUAAAUAAAAAAUUUCUCAGGAAACAAGCCCAAGAUUUCCACCGAAUGUCACAGAAGUUGAAUCUCUUUUUCAAACUACUAAUUUUGGAUGCCACCAAUCAAUUUGUAAAUUGCAAGAACAAUGAUGCAAUUUCCAACAUAGCAGCGUAAAAUUUCCGCAAGUUGCAUUCUGCAAAUCACUCUAGAACAUUAAGCUGAGAAGAAAGCUUGAUAUAAAUUAUAUUCGUUCGAUAAAGAAAAUAAAUUGAAAAUAAAAUAUCAAAAAGAGUCAAAGUAUUCUUUGAACGUUGUAUAUAUUUGAUGCAAUUUGAUGCGUGUAUUCUUUCUAGUUGUCAAUGAAUGCUAUGUAUUAAAGAGGAAAAUAUGUUAGGAAUUGCAUAUCAUGCCGUACCAUGUAAUUUAUGUUUCACCAGGUGUUGAUGUCUUCACCAAUUCCCUCCAUAGAUCGUUCAUUGGCAUUGUCUUUGCUCUAGUUGCUCAUCUGCUUGAAUGUAUAUAUUAGUGAUUGAAAUCUCUUUAUUUUAUUCGUUGUCUUAUGUAUGUUAUAUACAAGGAGAGUAUACCUUAUUUUUGAAGGUAUAUAUCUAUAUUAAUUGAAUGUAUAGCAUCAUUGGUUUCUUUCCAAAACCUUGAGCUAUUGACGUGCUGGUCGUUUGUAUUAUCUGCUAGCCUUUCUGUUGGAUCGCCAAACCAUACCACAUGAUUCCAUUGUUUCUUCUGUACCUACUCAUUCCUACUAUACGCAUCAUGUAUAAAUUGUUAUUGUUUACUUGCAAGCAUAUUUUAUUUGAAUAUGCUUAUUUCUUUAAUCUGCAAAUUGUAAUUGUUUGACUUGAAAGAAAAGCACUCAGUGUAAGAAUUUUUUUCCAUUGUUUCAUGCUAUCUGGGGUAAAUAAUUAAUUUCCUUUGUUUACUUCUUAUGAAAUUGGGAUUCAGGUCUACACCUUUGAAGUACAUAGCAUGUCAUCAAUUUCCACUAGUGCUGGAGGAUAUCAACGGCGAACCUGUCCACGGUGCAACUUACAAUGCAACUUAAGUAUAUCAAGCUCCCGAUCUAACCUAAGAAUAAUGUACUACCGAUGUCCAAAUUGUACAUUUUUUCAAUGGUAUGGUGAUUAUUUGGAAGGGAUGAAUUAUAAUGUAAAGCUGUCAAUGGUAUGGUGAUUAUUUGGAAGGGAUGAAUUAUAAUGUAAAGCUGAGGCACCGUGAUAUACAUCAAAACAAUCAGAUAUAAGAAUCGGAAGAGCAUAUUAUGGUCAAGCCUGAACUGAUGGUCAUUCAACAAUAAAUUGUUGAUACUUUAGGGCGGAUGCAACAGUAUAUUUUUCUUGUGUGUAAUGAAUGCGAUUAUGUUUGUAUUACUUUUGUUUAAAAGUAUGUGAUAUCGCUAGAUAGUUGGUCUCACAACCCAUGAAACAGUUAUUGGUGUCGAUAUUGGAUUUACAUUAGAGUAAAUUUCAGUCGAUAUGAAUUGCGUGCUUGUAGAAGACUACCUUGAAAUGUGUUUGAAUUCUCCCUC